rnacentral:sRNA from 9 species
AUGUACCACUCGUACACUGCGGUUCCUGCGCGCCCCCCUGGCGGCUGCUCGCUACGUUCUGCUAGCC